GACGAACGCUGGCGGCGGGCUUAACACAUGCAAGUCGAACGGAAAGGCCCUGCUUUUGUGGGGUGCUCGAGUGGCGAACGGGUGAGUAACACGUGAGUAACCUGCCCUUGACUUUGGGAUAACUUCAGGAAACUGGGGCUAAUACCGGAUAGGAGCUCCUGCUGCAGGGUGGGGGUUGGAAAGUUUCGGCGGUGGGGGAUGGACUCGCGGCUUAUCAGCUUGUGGGUGGGGUAGUGGCUUACCAAGGCUUUGAAGGGUAGCCGGCCUGAGAGGGUGACCGGCCACAUUGGGACUGAGAUACGGCGCAGACUCCAACGGGGGGCAGCAGUGGGGAAUAUUGCACAAUGGGGGGAAGCCUGAUGAAGAAGCGCCGCGUGCGGGAUGACGGCCUUCGGGUUGUAAACCGCUUUCGCCUGUGACGAAGCGUGAGUGACGGUAAUGGGUAAAGAAGCACCGGCUAACUACGUG
rnacentral:rRNA from 1 species